CAGCCAGUUGGUGGGGUAAAGGCCUACCAAAGCAUAGAUCGGUAGCCGGCCUGAGAGGGCACACGGCCACACUGGCACUGAAACACGGGCCAGACUCCUACGGGAGGCAGCAGUGGGGAAUCUUGCACAAUGGGGGAAACCCUGAUGCAGCGACGCCGCGUGAACGAUGAAGCCCUUCGGGGUGUAAAGUUCUUUCGGCAGGGAAGAUUAUGACGGUACCUGCAGAAGCAGCUGCGGCUAACUACGUGCCAGCAGCCGCGGUAAUACGUAGGCAGCGAGCGUUGUUCGGAGUUACUGGGCGUAAAGGGUGUGUAGGCGGCUUUCUAAGUUUGGUGUGAAAUCUCCCGGCUCAACCGGGAGGGUGCGCCGAAAACUGGGAGGCUAGAGUGUGGGAUGGGAGAGUAGAAUUCCUGGUGUAGCGGUGAAAUGCGUAGAUAUCAGGAGGAAUACCGGUGGUGUAGACGGCUCUCUGGACCACAACUGACGCUGAAACACGAAAGCGUGGGUAGCAAACAGGAUUAGAUACCCUGGUAGUCCACGCCCUAAACGAUGCAUAUUUGGUGUAGGUCAUUCAGUUGAUCUGUGCCGGAGCUAACGCGUUAAAUAUGCCGCCUGGGGAGUACAGUC
rnacentral:rRNA from 1 species